GCCUAAUACAUGCAAGUCGAGCGAACAGACGAGGAGCUUGCUCCUCUGACGUUAGCGGCGGACGGGUGAGUAACACGUGGAUAACCUACCUAUAAGACUGGGAUAACUUCGGGAAACCGGAGCUAAUACCGGAUAAUAUAUUGAACCGCAUGGUUCAAUAGUGAAAGACGGUUUUGCUGUCACUUAUAGAUGGAUCCGCGCCGCAUUAGCUAGUUGGUAAGGUAACGGCUUACCAAGGCAACGAUGCGUAGCCGACCUGAGAGGGUGAUCGGCCACACUGGAACUGAGACACGGUCCAGACUCCUACGGGAGGCAGCAGUAGGGAAUCUUCCGCAAUGGGCGAAAGCCUGACGGAGCAACGCCGCGUGAGUGAUGAAGGUCUUCGGAUCGUAAAACUCUGUUAUUAGGGAAGAACAAAUGUGUAAGUAACUAUGCACGUCUUGACGGUACCUAAUCAGAAAGCCACGGCUAACUACGUGCCAGCAGCCGCGGUAAUACGUAGGUGGCAAGCGUUAUCCGGAAUUAUUGGGCGUAAAGCGCGCGUAGGCGGUUUUUUAAGUCUGAUGUGAAAGCCCACGGCUCAACCGUGGAGGGUCAUUGGAAACUGGAAAACUUGAGUGCAGAAGAGGAAAGUGGAAUUCCAUGUGUAGCGGUGAAAUGCGCAGAGAUAUGGAGGAACACCAGUGGCGAAGGCGACUUUCUGGUC
rnacentral:rRNA from 1 species